UACGGAGGUUGCAAGCGUUAUCCGGAUUCACUGGGGUUAAAGGGUGCGUAGGCGGGCAGGUAAGUCCGUGGUGAAAUCUCUGAGCUUAACUCAGAAACUGCCAUGGAUACUAUUUGUCUUGAAUGUUGUGGAGGUAAGCGGAAUAUGUCAUGUAGCGGUGAAAUGCUUAGAUAUGACAUAGAACACCAAUUGCGAAGGCAGCUUACUACACAAAUAUUGACGCUGAGGCACGAAAGCGUGGGGAUCAAACAGG
rnacentral:rRNA from 1 species